GUCACUUUUUGGCUGAGAUCAAGUGUGGUAUCUGUUAUUACAGUUUAUAUCUCUGCCCAAGAACAGUGUGUUAAAUGGAUUUUUGGAGGAGGGAGAUGGAAUAUCCAUGCAUCCAUCUAAUAUUGUAGUACUUUCAUGAAUGGUGCAACCUCU
rnacentral:snRNA from 1 species